CCGAGUUUACAACUCCCAAACCCCUGUGAACAUACCUAUACGUUGCCUCGGCGGAUCAGCCCGCUCCCGGUAAAACGGGACGGCCCGCCCGAGGACCCCUAGACUCUGUUUUAUAGUGUAACUUCUGAGUAAAACCAUACAAUAAAUCA
rnacentral:misc_RNA from 1 species